rnacentral:lncRNA from 1 species
GCCAGCCCCCGUGGGUUCAUCUUUACAGCAUCUGAAACUAGGACAAGAGCCAAAUUUUCCAAAAUGCCAGAAGGGGUAACAAAGAAGUAACCAGUUGGAAGCUGAGGACUGGCAAAGUUCAAGACAAAAAUGCAGCAAUAUUGCUACCAUGGAGCAGGUGAGGCUAGAACGCAACACGAAGAGCAGAAUGAUGGAAAGAAUCUGGUGUCUUCAUGAUUUUGUACCACCAUUGCCACAGGGCUGACUGCUUACUCCAGCCUUCAUGAUACAUGAAAGAAAAUUGAACCCUGUCUUGUUUAAACAACUAUUAUUUGGGUUUUCUUUUACAUGCCAUCAGAAUAAACCUUAACUGAAUUUCAGAGUUGCAGAACAGACUGGAAAAUCUAAAAAAAUAGAUUAAAAUAUUACAAUAUUUGGUUAAGAAGAUAUGUGAUAAAAAUGAUAAUAGUGACAUUUAAAACCAGUCAAGAAAAGAUAGACAAUUCAAUAAAAGUUAUUGGGAAAUGGGAUGGGAUAACUACUUAAGAAAAAAUGGGAUACCUACUUCACAUGUUAAACCUAAAUUUCCUAUGGAUCAGAUUUAUAUGUAAAAAAAUAAAAUCACAAUAGUGCAAGAAGAAAUAAAAAAGUUUUUUAAAUCUCAGAGGAAAGAUCUUUCUCAACACAAAAGGUAAAAGGCAUAACACAAAAUUGGAUUUUAUGUAAAUUUAGUCACAUAAAAAUAAAGAAAUUCAUAUGCAUCACAAAAAUGCAUAAGCAGAAUCAAAAGAAAACUAACGAACUGAGAAAAUAUUUGCAACUCAUAUCACAGCAAAAGAAUAUUUUUUUGAUACACAAAGAUCUCUACAACCAAAAAAUAAAAGACCAUUGAUGCAGUAGAAGAUUAGAGACUGUAAACAAAUGGACCACUGAAAAAAAGCAAAUAAUCUUAAGCAUAUGAAAAGAUGCUUAAUGUCACUCAGGGCAAUACAAAUUAAGAUUAAAUGGCAUAGCCUCUUAACUCAUCAGAUGAGGAGAAACAGGACUUUACUCUCAUACAUUGAUUGUUAGAAUAUCAAUUGCUUCAAACACAAGUUGAAAAAAUUUAGCAAUAUCUUUUGAAAUUAAAAAUGCACAUACAGGAGUUUCCAUUGUGGUAGAGCAGAAAUGAAUCUGACUCGUACCCACAAGGAUGUGGGUUUGAUCCCUAGCCUUGCUCAGUAGGUCAGGGAUCCAGCAUUGCUGUGAGCUGUGGUGUAGACGGCAGACACAGCUUGGAUCCCUUGUUGCUGUGGCAGCUGUAGCUCUGAUUUGACCCCUAGCCUAGGAGCUUCCAUAUGCCAUGGGUGUAGCCCUAAAAGUAAAAUAAAAUAAAAUAAACCUGCACAUACCUUUUGACUUAUGGAUUCAAUCUUGAGUUACUUAUCCCCAAACAUGCCCCAAUAUGUGUGAAAGGAUUUAUCCAUUCAUUCAACAAAUGAGUGCCUACUCUAUUGAAAGCUCUCUUCUGGGCACUCUGUAUACAAGGAUGGUCACUAGAAAGGAGAUUAGAAACAACAUAAGUAUCCAUGAAUAAAGUCCUGGUAAAAUAAAUUAUGGCACAUCCAUACAAGGAUAGAUUAUGAAACUAUUACAAAGAAACAGGAAAAAAUGUGAUAUGGAAAGAUAUUUUUAAAUAUAAGCUUCCAAGGCAUUGGAUUUUUGUUUUGCUUACUAUUGUAUUCCUAACACAUAAAACAAUGUAUAGUAUAUAUUAGACUUGCAAUAAAUAUUUGAUGAGCUAAGAAAGUGAGAAAAAGUAAGGUAAAGAAUGGCAUCCUACAAUUAUAUGUGGGGAAAUAUGAAUAUAAAUAUAUAUGAAUAUAAAUACACAUUUCUAAAUUCACGGACCAUCUUUAGGUGCAUAAGAAACUGGUAACAUGGAUUGCCUCCGAAGAGUAUACCAGGGGAUGGGGGGCCAGGGAGGAAAUUGGACUGCCUUCAUACUGUACAACCUCUUUUCUACAUUUUGAAUGCCAUGCCAUAUGUAUUAAUUAUCUCUUCAGGAAAGAAGCACACAUGUUCACCACAUAUGUAUCACUUCACAUUCUUUUGCACUUCCCCAAAGGUGCUGGCUCAAGUAGGAAUUAGCACACUUUGGUGGUUUCUGAGGCAAUUCCAGCCAAAUGCCAGGCAUUUUUCAUAAAUGUAUUCCUCUUGCUAACAUUUAAUGUAGGCAGAUCUGUCAACUCUGCACAUACUCACAAACAAUUCAGUUGAGAUGGCAAGGCCUGAAGUACUCAACCCCAAAUACAAAGAUGUGUGUGGAUCUUCCAGGGUCUUGUGAGAAGACAAUAAGCUUCAAGGCCACGCAAACAUUGCAGCAGGGGUUAUUUGUCUGUUCAGCUCUGCUCAGAAGCCUUUCCUGAGGCCUCACCUGCUCUCACCUCCCGACACACACCCUCUUACUGUGGAUCGACAUUCCACAGCUAUCUGCCCAAAGUGCCCUCAAAGCUCUAACUCAGGACAUAGAACUUUCUUAUAUUUUUGUCUGUCUACCACACUAAACUGAGAACCAACUCUUCUGGCAUCUAGCACACUGCCCACUUUAGUAACUCCUCAACAAAUGUAUGAAAAAUUAAUAUAUAUUGUGAUGAAGCAUGAUAAUGUGAGAAAAAAGAAUUGUGAAACUGUAUUGUGAAUGGGUCACUGCUGUACAGUAGAAAAUUGACAGAACACUGUAAACCAGCUCUAAUGGAAAAAAAAAUAAAAAUCAUUAACAAAAAAGAAAAAAA